rnacentral:rRNA from 1 species
UACGAAGGGGGCUAGCGUUGUUCGGAAUUACUGGGCGUAAAGCGCACGUAGGCGGACAUUUAAGUCAGGGGUGAAAUCCCGGGGCUCAACCCCGGAACUGCCUUUGAUACUGGGUGUCUGGAGUAUGGAAGAGGUGAGUGGAAUUCCGAGUGUAGAGGUGAAAUUCGUAGAUAUUCGGAGGAACACCAGUGGCGAAGGCGGCUCACUGGCCCGGUACUGACGCUGAGGUGCGAAAGUGUGGGGAGCAAACAGG